rnacentral:misc_RNA from 1 species
GAUGAAGAACGUAGUGAAAUGCGAUACGUAAUGUGAAUUGCAGAAUUCAGUGAAUCAUCGAAUCUUUGAACGCAUAUUGCGCUCUUUGGUAUUCCGAAGAGCAUGCUUGUUUGAGUAUCAGUAAACACCUCAAAGACUUCAAUUUGUUUUGAAUGGCUUUGGACUUGAGCAAUCCCAACACCAGUCUUUACGAUCGGUGGAGGGUUGCUUGAAAUGCAGGUGCAGCUGGACAUUCUCCUGAGCUAAAAGCAUAUUUAUUCAGUCCCGUCAAACGGAUUAUUACUUUUGCUGCAGCUAACAUAAAGGGAGUUUGACCGUAUUGGCUGACUGAUGCAGGAUUUCACAAGGGUCGGCAACGAUUCUUGUAAAACUCGAUCUCAAAUCAAGUAAGACUACCCGCUGAACUUAAGCAUAUCAUAAGCGGAGGA